AAAAUUCUGGUUCUUGGCUCAUACCGAAGCUAACCGGAAUCGACUUACCAGUUAAUUAAAUUGUACCAAACCGAUCCGUAAAUUAAUGAAAUGUCGUCGAUAUCGCUCAGCUUCUCUCCGUCUUCGCCUUGCCGACUGUGAGACUUCACCGAGUAAACACACUUUUCUUCAUCAACAACACAGCCACGUGUCACCAUAUAACUCGUUCCAGCUGCUAACAACCUCUAACGACUUUAACUGCUUUGCAACAUCAUCGAUCCUCAGUAAGAGGAGAUAAAUCUCUAACGUAUGGAGAUCUUUUUGGCGUGCAGCCAGCAAGAUCAUCCUAUCUAUGAGGAUGAGCCUAUUGAUAAGAGCAAGCUCUGGGGUGAUUUAGAGGAAGAAGAGGAAGAGGAACAAGAGGAGGAGAUGGAUGAAGAGGAACUAGAAGACGGCAUGGAAUCGGUUUAUACAUUGUCAAGCAUUCCAACUGGCACCGAGACACCGAAUGCAAUUGAAGAGAAAGGAAUCCGAUAGGCCUCUAUAUCAAAAGCAUUGGGAGGGAGAAGAUCAAGUUUCUGUUUCAGAAGCAGAUGAGUCUUGGACGCAAAGCAAACCAUGUACUUAAGAAUUUCCCCUGGAACAGUGUUGGGAACCACACACACAUAUGUUAUUAAAACUGGCACUCAAGACAAGCUGGGAGCGAAAGGGUUGAUUUGCUGAGAGGGGCAAAAGACAGAUGGAUAUCAGUUUACUGGAGGCCAUGGAGAAUGUUUUACCUGCCAAUAUGAGGAGGCAAGAGAAGAGGAGAGAAACUACACAAUAAGCUAAGGACUUCACUGACAUGGUCGCCGA